rnacentral:tRNA from 1 species
UGGGCUGUGGCCAAACGGUAAGGCAUGGGACUUUGACUUCCAGAUAGCAGGUUCGACACCUGCCAGCCCAUCCA